GGAAAGAGAGGGAUUCGACCCCUCCG
rnacentral:tRNA from 1 species